AUUCUUGAGUAAAUAAAAAUAAUUACAGCUGUAAUAACACUUCCAGUAACAGAUUUAUAUCUAAUUUCAUGGGACAAUUAAAUAUGACAAAUGGCAGUGUUGUGUUCAUACAGAUAAAGAUGUGUGUUCUGUUUUGUGUCUAGAAGAUCAUCCCUGCACUCAGAUCUGCCUCAACACCAUGAUGGGCUAAUACCUUAGUGCAAGACGUCAGGGCUACAAGCUUGGAUGCUGAUCAGAAAAAAAGUGUUCUGCGUAUUUCUCACCAGCAGAACUGGAAGUGCUUAUGCAAGCAUAUGGAGAAUAUGAAGGGGAAAAAAAAAGGGGCGAAGGACAGAGAGUUAGCUUCGGAGAAAAUAGCUGCUCGAGUCAAUGCCCAACAGAAAGAAGGCAGAGGCUCACAAAACAGGGGGAGGACCUGCACCACCACCUCUGACAAAUGCAGAGGAGAUGGUCCUGAGCCUGAUUGCUGGAAGGCCAAUGGCUGAGGGAAUUCCUGGUGGGACUUCAUCAGAACCAGUCACUCCAGAUUUAAGUGCCUUCAUAAAAUGAUGAUGAGGAUGAUGAAGAACCCGUUUCUGCUGCCACAGAGAGGCCUACAGAGGAUUCCACACUUGAGGAUCGGCUAUGUGAACUCCUGAGGAGACGAACUGCAGGUGCCUUGGAGGCUGUUAACGUCACCUCGACCACACGAUAGGCUCCGAUCGCGAGAGGACUCGGGAGGUCACUGUGAGCCGCCUCAACACCGGGAUCAGAGCAAUUGGAUGUGUGGAAGAUGCUACACAGCAUCCUGUUCUUAGGUAACAUCAAUGCUUCAGUCUACAUCCCAGAAUACAUCUUUCCUGAUGUUCACGUGUUACACAGAACCAAGAAAGAUUUCCCAAGACCAUUUGAUCUUUUCCGAACCCCCGUGGCUCAGCGAACACCUUUCUCCUACUUUCUGCAACUGUUUGUAAUGUGUGUGUUUUCCUCUCAGUUCACAGUGUAUUUCAGCCAAGUACAUGAAACCACAGUGAAGAAAAAUCUGUCUGUAUUAUUAGGUGAUUGUAAAAAAAAAAAAAAAAGGUGACAGAUACCCACUGAUUUCCAGUGUAAUAUGUGUCUGUGAGUAUAAUAACCACAUAUACUAUGGUGUGUCUCUGUCCUGUGGAGGUGAGAGAGAUCAUGACUUCUGUGUCUUGUCUGAAAGUGCGGCAUCACAAAAUCUCCUCUGCUGUGAUGUCGAAGUUUCACCCCCUGCCUGUCUCGCCGUGUUCCUCGCUCCCCCGCCUACCUCGCCGUGUUCCUCGCUCCCCCCGCCUGCCUCGCCGUGUUCCUCGCUCCCCCCGCCUGCCUCGCCGUGUUCCUCGCUCCCCCCCCGCCUGCCUCACCGUGUUCCUUGCUCCCCUCGCCGUGUUCCUCGCUCCCCCCGCCUACCUCGCCGUGUUCCUCGCGGUGUUCCUGGCUCCCCCUGCCUGCCUCGCCGUGUUCCUGGCUCCCCCCGCCUGCCUCGCCGUGUUUCCUGGCUCCCCCCGCCUGCCUGGCCGUGUUUCUUGGCUCCCCCCGCCUGCCUCGCCGUGUUUCUUGGCUCCCCCCGCCUGCCUCGCCGUGUUUCUUGGCUCCCCCCGCCUGCCUCGCCGUGUUUCUUGGCUCCUUGCUCCCUGAUUCUAACCUGGAUCAUUCCUUGUUUGGACUUUUAAACGUGUCUGGCUCGGCGCGUCGGGAGCCGCGCCUUAUGGGGGAGUAUCGUCAGGAAUUGGCUUGAACUUUUUCCUGAAUGGACACUAGUGCCUCUUUUCCACCGGAAAGAACCGGGUGCUGGUUCAGAGCUAGCACUGGUGCUGGUUCAAAGUUGGUUCCACUGGUGAACCUUCUAAGAACCGGUUUGCCUUUCCACUGGCUAGAGAGCAUCAAGAGCCGAGUGUGACGUCACUUUAUACGUGUCACGUGUCCCAGCAACUUUAGCGCAGCAGCGGCAAACACAAACACAUCAACAAUGGCGGAUGUUGCUUUACUGUUAAUGCUCAUGGCUUUGUGAACCUACAUUAACGCGGCGAAAAAAACGUGUACGUGCAGCUCCAUGUAAUCUGUAUAAACGGAGGUUGUAAUCGAUAAAGUACAUAACGUUAUUUUAUCGCUAACACAGAAAAAAGUUAGCCUUAGCAUGUAGCUACAUACUAUCAUGUGUGCUGAUAAUGUAUCAUAUUGCGGUAAAGUAAAAGUGUAUUAAACAUUAGUAUACUUAAGGUAUAUUAUCAAAUGCGCUAACAGUAGCCCCGCCCACAGCCCCUGACACAAGCGGUUCUUAAGUCUAGACCAGCAACGUUUUGGUGCUACUUAAGAACCACUUUUCCUGGUUCAGAGCCGGUGCUUUGGCGGUCGAAACAGAAAGAACUGGUUCUAAAUUAGGCUCUGGCUCCGAACCAGCACUCGAACUGCCUCGGUGGAAAAGGGGCAUAGGAGGAUAUUGUUGCUUUUGUGUCUGUGCCAUGUGAUUUAGUUUGUUUUAUGUAUCACAUGUUAGCCCCGCCCUUUUCUUAAUGUUCCCGCUUCUGCACACCUGUUCCUUGUGUUUCAGUUAUGGUCACCACUAUUUAUGCCGUGUGUCUUACGUCUGCUUUUCACCGAGUCCUUGUAUUUUGUUUUGCUGUCUCUUUGUUUGUUGUAUCUGUGUACCUGCAUUUUCUGUUUCCAGUCUCCUAGUGUUUUUUGCCCUUUGUUAUUUUUACCUUAAUAAACCCCCUUUUAUAUUAUCCUGCAUUUGGGUCUGUACUUUUAUCUGUUUAUCUAUAAUAUAUAUUAUAUAUAUAAUAUCCUGUCCUUCUAUAAUUAGUCAUAUUUGAAGCUCUAAGAUCCUGUAGGGUUGAUUCUGAAUCUGUAUGAUCCUGUCUGUAUGAGCUAUAUUUUGCCAGUAAAUAAAUAACAACAAAACCUA